GACGAACGCUGGCGGCGUGCUUAACACAUGCAAGUCGAACGAUGAAGCCCUUUCGGGGGUGGAUUAGUGGCGAACGGGUGAGUAACACGUGGGUAACCUGCCCUGUACCCUGGGAUAAGCCUUGGAAACGAGGUCUAAUACCGGAUAUGACCUGCUCUCGCAUGGGGGUGGUGGAAAGUUUUGGCGGUGCAGGAUGGACCCGCGGCCUAUCAGCUUGUUGGUGGGGUGAUGGCCUACCAAGGCGACGACGGGUAGCCGGCCUGAGAGGGCGACCGGCCACACUGGGACUGAGACACGGCCCAGACUCCUACGGGAGGCAGCAGUGGGGAAUAUUGCACAAUGGGCGAAAGCCUGAUGCAGCGACGCCGCGUGAGGGAUGACGGCCU
rnacentral:rRNA from 1 species